CUCUGUGACGGCUGCUGUUACCGGCUCGGACAAGUAAUGGGAAAGAAGAUCAAGUUUAUAGACGCCAACGCUGAAAUGUGUGAAGAGGCAAAAGAGUCCGUUGCCGUGGGACCAGAUGGAGCUAACUCAAAAAGAAAGUGGUGACUGGUGUGUGCUGGACAAUCCCACACGCAAACGGAAUUUAAGUAAACUUACAUCUGCACCAGUCAGGACGGAGACCAUUUCAACACGUGUGAACUGAAUUGUCUCACCUGCUCUAAGGCUCAGUACGCGAGGCACCAACACGUCGUCACCUUAACCCCAGCGAGCCUCACAGGGAUCAGUAAAAUCCACAAUGGUUCCUAACUCCCAAUCCUUAAAGUGUAGUGGUUGAGACGCAGCAGAGGUUAAUAAUAAAGUUAUAAAAAUAAUGAAUAGAAGAAUCAUUACAGCAACAAGUGUAAUAUAUUGUUCAGACUUGUUCAUGUAAUGUAUACCUGAACCUAAACUAACUUACACUAA